rnacentral:tRNA from 1 species
GGGCCCAUAGCUCAGCGGUUAGAGCACCACGCUUAUAACGUGGGGGUCGAUGGUUCAAAUCCAUCUGGGCCCACCU